CUGCCCAGGGUAAGUCGGGACCUAAGGCGAGGCCGACAGGCGUAGUCGAUGGACAACCGGUUGAUAUUCCGGUACCCGCUUUGAAACGCCCAAUAUCGAGCCCAUUAAUGCUAAGGCCGUGAAGCCGCCCCGGAGCCUUCGGGCAAAGGGGAGUGGUGGAGCCGCCGGCCCAAGGUGGUAGUAGGUAAGCGAUGGGGUGACGCAGGAAGGUAGUCCAGCCCGGGCGGUGGUAGUCCCGGGGUAAGGGUGUAGGACGUCACGUAGGCAAAUCCGCGU
rfam:Streptomyces sp. NRRL F-6491 P443contig257.1, whole genome shotgun sequence.